UACAGAGGUCUCAAGCGUUGCUCGGAAUCAUUGGGCGUAAAGCGCACGUAGGCGGUCUGUUAAGUCGGAUGUGAAAGCCCUCGGCUCAACCGAGGAAGUGCAUACGAAACUGGCGGACUUGAAUAUGGAAGAGGGUCGCGGAAUUCCCGGUGUAGAGGUGAAAUUCGUAGAUAUCGGGAGGAACACCAGUGGCGAAGGCGGCGACCUGGGCCAAUAUUGACGCUGAGGUGCGAAAGCGUGGGGAGCAAACAGG
rnacentral:rRNA from 1 species